UACGAAGGGGGCUAGCGUUGCUCGGAAUGACUGGGCGUAAAGGGCGCGUAGGCGGAUGGUACAGUCAGAUGUGAAAUUCCCGGGCUUAACCUGGGGGCUGCAUUUGAUACGUGUUGUCUUGAGUUCGGAAGAGGGUCGUGGAAUUCCCAGUGUAGAGGUGAAAUUCGUAGAUAUUGGGAAGAACACCGGUGGCGAAGGCGGCGACCUGGUCCGACACUGACGCUGAGGCGCGAAAGCGUGGGGAGCAAACAGG
rnacentral:rRNA from 1 species